GGGACCUAGAGAGCUGCUGGGAGGAUGAGAAGACUUCUUUGUUAGAAGAAGCAGACUGGGAGUGCAGAGAGGACAUGUGGCCAUGAGAACUGGCUGCAGGAGAAUGUCCCUUCUGCAAGUCCUGGGAAGCCAGGAGGGCAGGCAGCUUGAGUCCACAUCCAGGAUUUGAAACUAGCCACGCUGGAGACUUAGGCAGACUCCACUCAUGGAAGACCUCCUGGACCUGGAGAAGAACUCCUGACAAUGAGAACCCAUGACCAGAGUCUGAAAUCAGCAGAAGAUGACUACAUGCCUGCCAAAAUGUCCCUGUGAAUGGGGAAAUAGGGACAUGUUGUCAGUUGGAAGCAUGCAUCACUUCACCUUAGGCUACAAGCUAGCAAAGGCUUCCCUUGUGAUUAAGCAGCACACAGACCUGCACUACAAAGCUUCC